ACUUUUCAACAUUAAUUCAUAAAUAAUAAAAUAUUAUAAUAAACUUUGAUUUACAAAGGAACUAUAUACAAGUGUAUAUCUAAAAUAAAAGGGUUGUUCGACCAAUAUUUUUCUCAAUUUAACCCUUUUCGUGCGGGGGCCGUACUAUUACGGCCAUACCCAGAUCACCGUUAUUUUGGCUUCAAUGGCGCUCCAUACAUUUAGAGGUCAUCUUAAUGCCAUGAAAACGAACUUCAAAAUUUGAGAUCGGACAAAAUUGGGUUUUUUGAGGGGUGGGCUUACCUUCAAGGUCUGAAACACAGAGUUAAGAAGACUGAAACCUUGACAAAUACUGUUAACCUAAAGGCAUAUAACGACUGAUCGUGUUUAUAAUUAAAUUACGCCGAGGAAACGUCUACUUCCGGUUGCAAGUCCAGUUAAAGUUCAAAAUUGGAAAAAAUCGAAAAUUUGGUGAAUUUUGGUGCAAAUGACCUUCUUUACACUGAUGAACCCAGAUCAGUUUCACUCCGACCUAACAACGAUUGUGAUAAAAGUGUUCACUAGUGUACACCCUACAUGAAAACUACAGAUGGAUGCAUCUGGUAGCAUGAUCUGUCGGGCUUACAGGUCGAGAAAAAGAACGAAAAAACGUCAAAAUUGACGCUUUUUGCACCCGAAGACCAAAUUCCCUCCCACCCUUCCCCGCCUCCUCACCCCGUGAUCCCCUAUCUUAGAUUUCUUGCAAUCAGUAUGCAUCAGCAAUCAGGGUACAGCUCAUUUGCAUAUUUUUGCAAAUACUCGAAAUUUAGACAAUUUCUGAAAACAACUCAGCAUGUAUUUAGGGUUAAGGACAAAAAACAAGUCAAAAGUUGGUAGUUGAUGAUUAAAAUGAUGUUUAAAGUUUCUGCAAGUCAUAAAAACACAUAAUUAGUUUCCUGAUAUAUAUAUGUCUUCGACUUAGCGUUCUACACCAUCUAAAACUUCACAUAUAUCCAGCAUGGCCAAAAUCAAAAGUCGUAUUGGCUAUUUAACCACGAAAGUGAGGUCAAGGUCAGGUGAUACCUGCUAGAUCGAUAAAUUACUUAUAGUACUUGAAAACCAGACCUGGAAUGAGAUCAAGGUCAUAUAAAACCAGAGGCUAAUAGAACAAAACAGAACAGAACAUAUUUUAUUUUCAAUUAAGGGCCCACAAGGGGCAUACAGAGCAUACAUGAACAACAGCAUUAAGGACCUGAUUGUCUUCACAGUUUAAUAAUGCUGAUUAUCAAGUAUAGAAAAAAUUGGAAUUCUUUGGCAAACAAAGUCAAAGAGAGCAUCUCUAUCUGAUUUAAAAUUUGCACAGUUAGUUAAAAAAUGGAUUUCAUCUUCAAC
rnacentral:lncRNA from 1 species